rnacentral:rRNA from 1 species
UACGUAGGGGCCGAGCGUUGUCCGGAGUUAUUGGGCGUAAAGCGCGCGCAGGCGGCCUCGCGCGCCCGACGUGAAAGCCCCCGGCUUAACCGGGGAGGGUCGUUGGGGACGGCGGGGCUUGAGGGCGGGAGAGGGCGGUGGAAUUCCCGGUGUAGUGGUGAAAUGCGUAGAGAUCGGGAGGAACACCUGUGGCGAAGGCGGGUCUCUGGGCCGAUACUGACGCUGAGGAGCGAAAGCGUGGGGAGCGAACAGG